rnacentral:misc_RNA from 1 species
UUUCCGUAGGUGAACCUGCGGAAGGAUCAUUAACGAGUAAGGGUCAUUCUGGCGCGACCUCUAACCCUUUGUUUAAUUACAAUGUUGGUUUGGCGGGCCCGUUUCACGAAGGCCGGAAGGCCUCGGACGUCUCGCCCGUGCCCGCCAAGAGCCUUCUACAAACUCUUGAUAAAAUGUGAUGUCUGGGUAAUAAAUUCAAUAGUUAAAACUUUGAACAACGGAUCUCUUGGUUCUG